rnacentral:lncRNA from 1 species
AGCGAGUAAGGAUGGUCCAGUUCCAAAUUUUUUUCAGUUUCCCCAAAUCAUCUUGGUUAUUGUAAACAAACAAAUGAAAUGAGGCAUAACAUGAAUCAUGUAGAGUGUAUGUGUACAUGCAUGCUUGUGGAGGAAGGGCUCAUAUGUGAAUAUUUUUACAUGUCUCUCAGGUGGCAUUAGUGGUAAAGAAUCCGCCUGCCAAUGUAGGACAUGCAAGAGACAUGGGUUUGAUUCCUGGGUUGGGAAGAUCCCUUCGAGUAGGAAAUGGCAACCCACUCCAGUAUUCUUGCCUGGGAAAUCCCAUGGACAGAGGCGCCCAGCGGGCUACAGUCCAUGAGGUUGCAACGAGUCAGAUACGACUGAGCACAUGGAAAGGUCCAGUUUGGUGUGGAUGCACUGUACUCUCUUGUACUUGAUGAAAUCACUGUGAAAACCUUUGGCAAGAUGCGGAUCUUGGGCACAUCUUGAAGUUUCCAGCAAAGUCUCAGAAUAGUUACCCUUCAAGGAGGGUGGUGACAUAAUUGGCUAAAUACAAAAUGAAAAUGUGGGGCCCUUUGUUUUUUUUUUUUUUAAGUAUAGUUAAAGGGGUUUAAACAUAAACCUUUUCCUUUAAAAAUAUUUUAUUGUAAAGCAUAAUGGUGUAAGUUGUGAUACAUGAGUAACAAAAAUUAUAGUUAAAAAAAAGGUUUGUUGCCAUAAUUUUAUAUACUACAGUUAAAAAAAUAAUACUUUAUCAAACUGUGAUAUCCUGAUUGACCAUAACAUUUUUCUGGCUCUCUUUUCUGGGAAUCUAUUUAUCAGAUAUAUGAAAAUUUAUACUUUUCACAAUUUCAUUUUCAAUUGAUAUAAUUCACAGCAGCAUGAGUUGCUGUUUGCAUGUGUAAGAUCACAAAUAAUUUUGGAUAAUUUUAAAUUUUGAGAAGGAUCUUUCUACUGAUGUAACUGUUACUGGCAGCUAAGAGUAUCUUAUUGGCUAUAAUAGCAUUAGGAUAGAUUUCUAAAGAAUCAUUUUGAUAUAUAGACAGUAUAUCUAGAGCCGAUGUUUCUGGCCUAACAGGUUCUCUAAAAAGAUCUAACUCUCCAUACAAAUUAGUUUUGUAUAAAGUUGAAUUUAAUUUUAAAUGUAAAUUUUCAGAAUGGCAUUUUAAUGUUUUCUCUGACAUUUCCUGUAGCUUGCAAAGAUUCUGGGAGCAACUGAAAGUGGCUUCACAAUUUGUGUAUGUAUAUUUCAAAAUG